UACGUAGGGGGCUAGCGUUGUCCGGAAUCAUUGGGCGUAAAGCGCGUGUAGGCGGUCCGGUAAGUCCGUUGUGAAAGCCCUGGGCUCAACCUGGGAACUGCGAUGGAUACUGAGGAGCUGGAGUACGGUAGAGGAAGGUGGAAUUCCCGGUGUAGCGGUGAAAUGCGUAGAGAUCGGGAGGAACAUCAGUGGCGAAGGCGGCCUUCUGGACCAGUACUGACGCUGAGGCACGAAAGCGUGGGGAGCAAACAGGGAUUGAAGCAACC
rnacentral:rRNA from 1 species